rnacentral:rRNA from 1 species
GUUGACCUCGGAUCAGGUAGGGAUACCCGCUGAACUUAAGCAUAUCAAUAAGGGGGGGGAA